UUGUUUUUAUUAAAAAGAAUUGUCUUAGCAUAUUUGAUUGUGUGAUUAUGUAAAUUAGGAGAGAUAAUGUAGAUUUGGAAGAAUAUUUUAUAUUUAAUUGUAUUAUUCUUACGUAAGUAAGAGAUUUUAAGUUCGAUUCCCUCUCAUUUUCAUCCAUCUCCUUCCACCUCUUUAAAUUUCCAACGGGAUCCUCUCCGGAUCCUUUUGGUGAAGUUCCUGAAAAUCGAUGAAUCGUGUCCGUUCAUCGUACUUCGUGCGAUCAGUUUUUGUCAAAUACUGUUUAUGUUUAUUUUUAAAUAAAAAUAUUUAAAAUGAUUUUUGACCGCAGAAUAUAUGAUGAACGGACAUGAUUCACAGAUUCUCAGGAUCCUCACCAAAAGGAUCCGGACUCUUUAAAUUUUGUACUUAUAACAUGUUAUCAUACACUUCUUAGGAAAAUGAUCAUUGCCGGAUCCUU
rnacentral:sRNA from 1 species